AGGGGUCUUUGUUAUGAGUGGUAUUAGGUCAAAAACCUGCUUGUCAAAAGCGGCAGGCGUGAAUGCGGGUUCAAGCCCGCGGCCCCUA
rnacentral:tRNA from 1 species